rnacentral:rRNA from 1 species
GACGAACGCUGGCGGCGUGCUUAACACAUGCAAGUCGAACGGAAAGGCCCUGCUUUUGUGGGGUGCUCGAGUGGCGAACGGGUGAGUAACACGUGAGUAACCUGCCCUUGACUUUGGGAUAACUUCAGGAAACUGGGGCUAAUACCGGAUAGGAGCUCCUGCUGCAUGGUGGGGGUUGGAAAGUUUCGGCGGUUGGGGAUGGACUCGCGGCUUAUCAGCUUGUUGGUUGGGUAGUGGCUUACCAAGGCUUUGACGGGUAGUCGGCCUGAGAGGGUGACCGGCCACAUUGGGACUGAGAUACGGACCAGACUCCUACGGGAGGCAGCAGUGGGGAAUAUUGCACAAUGGGCGGAAGCCUGAUGCAGCAACGCCGCGUGCGGGAUGACGGCCUUCGGGUUGUAAACCGCUUUCGCCUGUGACGAAGCGUGAGUGACGGUAAUGGGUAAAGAAGCACCGGCUAACUACGUG